CUGGUGAAUGGCUCGGCUCGAGAGCCGACGAAGGACGUGCCAAGCUGCGAAAAGCCUGAGGGAGCCGCACGGAGGCGAAGAACUCAGGAUCUCCGAAUGGGAAUCCCCACCGCAAUUGCCUCGCGCAAUGGGGAACGCUCCGAAUUGAAACAUCUCAGUAGGAGCAGGAAAAGAACGCAAAAGCGAUGUCGUCAGUAACGGCGAGUAAACGCGACACAGUCCAAACCGAAUCCCUCACGGGACAUGUGGUGUUCGGACUGACUCUCACUAUCCGACCAUCGAACUGAAGUCUCCUGGAACGGAGCACGAUACAGGGUGACAGUCCCGUAAGUUCGAUCAGUACGAUACGCGUCAGUUCCAGAGUAGCAGGGGUUGGAUAUCCCUUGUGAAGGUCCCAGGCAUCAACUGGGAAGACUAAACACUCCUCGAGACCGAUAGCGAACAAGUAGCGUGAGCGAACGCUGAAAAGCACCCCGAGAAGGGCGGUGCAAUAGGGCCUGAAAUCAGUCAGUGAUGGAACGACGGGGCAUACAAGGUCCCUCGACGAACGACCGACGCGCGAGCGUCCAGUAGGACUCGAGGGAAGCCGGUGUCGCGUCGUACGUUUUGAAAAACGAACCAGGGAGUGUGCCUGUCUGGCAAGUCUAACACGAGCAUCGUGGAAGGCGUAGGGAAACCGAUACGGCCGCAGUCUUCGGACCAGGGCCACCGUGUUCAAGCGCGGGGAGUCAGACGGGCACGACCCGAAACCGAGUGAUCUACGCGAGGGCAGGGUGAAGCGUGGCGAAAGCCACGUGGAAGCCCGCUAGGGGUGGUGUCCUACAAUACCCUCCCGUGACCCGCGCGUAGGGGUGAAAGGCCCAUCGAACUCGGCAACAGCUGGUUCCAGUCGAAACAUGUCGAAGCAUGACCUCAGCAGAGAUAGUACGCGAGGUAGAGCGACCGAUUGGGAGACCCGCCUCCGAGAGGAGUCGGCCUCCCUGUCGAACUCCGAACUUGCGUACGUCGUAGAAGCUGGGAGUCCGGUGUCCCGGGGUAAGCUUGGGCACCGUGAGGGAGACAACCCAGAGGUAGGUUAAGGACCCCAAAUGUGGAUUAAGUGCGACCGAAGAUUGUCUCGAGCCCUAAACAGCCGGGAGGUGAGCUUAGAAGCAGCUACCCUCUAAGAAAAGCGUAACAGCUUACCGGCCGAGGUUCGAGGCGUCGAAAAUGAUCGGGGCUCAAAUCCACUUCCGAGACCUACCAGUCCUCACCAGAGGAACCUCGUAGACUGGCGUUCUGUACGGGUGGAAGCACGGGUGAGAACUCGUGUGGACCGCACAGAAACGAAAAUCCUGGUCACAGUAGCAGCGAGAGUCGGGUGCGAACCCCGACGGCCUGAAGAGCAAGGGUUCCUCGGCACUGCCAAUCAGCCGAGGGUUAGUCGGUCCUAAGUGUGACCGUAACUCGAAUCACACAAAUGGGAAUCUGGUUAAUAUUCCAGAACCGUGUGCACUCAAAGUCGACGCUUUGGGGACCACCGAACCGGGCUUUCGCCCGGUCGAACUGAGGAAACUCGUGGAAGCCGUAAUGGCACGAAGCGAGCGAAGCUCAGGACAGCGCAAGUCGGUGUUACCCAGAGCCCGUGAAAAGACGAGCACAUCGUCCGUACCGAGAUCCGACACAGGUGCUCUGGCAGAGCAAGCCAAGGCCUGUCGGGACCAACCGACGUUAGGGAAUUCGGCAAUUUAGUCCCGUACGUUCGCAAUAAGGGAUGCCUGCCUUUGACGAGGCAGGUCGCAGUGACUCGGACGCUCCGACUGUCUAGUAACAACACAGGUGACCGCAAAUCCGCAAGGACUCGUACGGUCACUGAAUCCUGCCCAGUGCGGGUAUCUGAACACCAGGUACAACUGGACGAAGGACCCGUCAACGGCGGGGGUAACUAUGACCCUCUUAAGGUAGCGUAGUACCUUGCCGCUUCAGUAGCGGCUUGCAUGAAUGGAUCAACGAGAGCGUCGCUGUCCCAACGUUGGGCCCGGUGAACUGUACGUUCCAGUGCGGAGUCUGGAGACCCCCAAGGGGAAGCGAAGACCCUAUAGAGCUUUACUGCAGGCUGUCGCUGAGACGUGGUCGCUGAUGUGCAGGAUAGGUAGGAGGCGUUACACAGGUACCCGCGCUAGCGGGCCACCGAGCCAUCACUGAAAUACUACCCGUCAGUGACUGCGACUCUCACUCCGGGAGGAGGACACCGGUAGCCGGGCAGUUUGACUGGGGCGGUACGCGCUCGAAAAGAUAUCGAGCGCGCCCGAAGAUACCCUCACGCGGGUCGGAAACCCGCAGAAGAGUGCAAGAGCAAAAGGGUGUCUGACAGUGUUCUUCCUAACGAGGAACGCUGACGCGAAAGCGUGGUCUAGCGAACCUACGAGGUUCAUUCAUGGGACCCGUAGAUGACAGAAAAGCUACCUUAGGGAUAACAGAGUCGUCACCGGCAAGAGCACAUAUCGACCCGGUGGCUUGCUACCUCGAUGUCGGUUCCCUCCAUCCUGCCCGUGCAGAAGCGGGCAAGGGUGAGGUUGUUCGCCUAUUAAAGGAGGUCGUGAGCUGGGUUUAGACCGUCGUGAGACAGGUCGGCUGCUAUCUAUUGGGGGUGUGAAGACACCUGACGGGAACGCUCGUAUAGUACGAGAGGAACUACGAGUGGUGGCCACUGGUGUACCGGUUGUCCGAGAGGGCAGUUGCCGGGCAGCUACGCCACACGGGGUAAGAGCUGAACGCAUCUAAGCUCGAAACCCACCUGAAAAAGAGGUGUCACCGAGGUCACUCGUAGAAGACGAGUUCGAUAGACUCGGGGUGUACGCGACGAGGCAACGAGU
rnacentral:rRNA from 1 species